GCCCCCAUAGCUCAGUGGAAAGAGCAUCGGACUUCUAAUCCGCAGGUCGCAGGUUCGAAUCCUGCUGGGGGCG
rnacentral:tRNA from 1 species